rnacentral:lncRNA from 1 species
GGGAGCAUCUGCUGCAAGGGAAGCAUCUGGAAGGGGGGCAUCAUCAUCAACAUCACAAGCUGGAAAGGGAUCAGGCAGAGAUGUAGGGGCUGCAUCAACAUCACAAGUUGGAGGGACAUCAACAUCACAAGCUGGAGGGACUGCAAGUAUGCGUGAAGGGGGAACGAGAGCAUCCUCAAGACUGGCUGUACAAAUUCUAGGGUCUCAAGCAAGUUGUAAUUGAUUUCGUAGUGUAGGAAUGUUAAUUUUUGUAGUGGCUGUGACUUUUUGUACUCAAUGUGACCCACUUUUUGAGACAAUGUGUAGUGGAGAUACUAUUUAUUUAAAGUAAGUCGUAGCACAUGCAGUAGUGGCUGUGACUUUUUGUACACAAUUGGACCACUUAUUUCUCCUGUAGUACCACAUGCAGUGUUAUUUAAACUAUGUUGAGACCACUUUUUGUACGAGUUGUUGAUUAUCGAAUGUGGACCACUUUUGCAGUUGUUGAUUAUUGAAUGCAAUUAAACUAUGCUGGGACCUGUGAAUUGGACCACUAUGUUGUAUUAUCUUUAGAUAGGUGUAUUAUCUUCUGCUCC